CAAACACUGAUGAGAGAUAAGAGAACAUUGUUAGAGUGUUGUCUCUCAGUGCAGGUGGAGUGCAGGAAUUCAAGGGAAUCUGUGUUAUCAUGUACACUCUUUUCUAUUGGGAUACGCUCGCUCGCAGGCACGUUGAAAACCAGCCAUCACCAUUUAGGGACAGAACCAAAAAAGGAAGUCCAAAAAAGAUUCAGCAGAAAAGUAAGUGAUUAGAGUACUAGUAUUACUUUUUAAGUGGAUGCUUGAAAUAUAUUAGUGUACUGAGUAAUCCCUUAUCUAGUUAUCCUCCUGCUGGGGGCCAGAAAGUUGGUAAUAAAUAUUCAAAAAAUAUUUUUUUCCAAAGGGUUCUGCUUGAACCGACUACGAAGUUACUACAUAUUAAGCCUAGUGUCAUGGAGACAAAACAGAAAUGCGACCUUUGGAUGCUGCAGUUGCUUUAUGCUUUUGCCUGCUUAGGCUGCUGAAGAAGGAGAAAAAGGGCCUGCUUGAGCUAAGGAAGUUUAAUACCUUGGAGCUGAUAUAUACGGUAUUAUUUUGUCUUUCUGACAGCGUCCGGUGCUAUUUUUACUCAGGCUGAUGCAGGGGUUAGGUUAGAACUUUAGGAAGAAUGGUGAUUUAUUUUAAAUGCUGUUUGUGUAAUAGC
rnacentral:lncRNA from 1 species